rnacentral:lncRNA from 1 species
UCCAUCAAUAUCUUCCUGCUCAGCACUUCAGAAAUGUUUCCUGUAUUAACUUCUUUGGACAGUAAUUAAGGAAGGAAGGAUAUUUUUGAAAGAGCAACUUAUAAAUGCGGAACAGAUAUCUAAAUGUGCUCUGGGUUGGACAUGUUUUACAACUAGGAUUUUCACAAGUGAAUUUUUUCCCUGUUUUUCUUGCUCUGGCCUCUCAUGGCUAUGGGGAAGUGACUUCAAGGCGUUAUGGAUUUUGGAUGUUGCCAAGUCAAUCUACCACAGAAUGUGUGGCUUUGGAGAGCAGAAAUGACAUACCUCCAUCUAUUGUCCUGAAGAGCAGUCAGUGUUUUGAAUCUCUAUGAGGGUUGGCUUCUUCACCUGCUAGGGAUAUGGCUAUCAGCAAGAGUUCAUCAGAAGGUGUUUGUAGCUUGGCUCCUUCUGAAGAUCCCAAGCAAUGUCAAUAUGUGAACCACUUUUCCAUGCUGGAGGCUGAAAAUACUGCCGUGAAUGAAAAACAGUUUCUUCUCUGAAAGAGAAGGCACUCCUGGAACUUUAUGUAAAUCCUUGACCAAAAUGAAACUUAACAUAGAUCAGCAUUAACUGUGUACCCUACAUCAGUGAUGAACAUUACUACUGGCAUUCAUUAAUGAAAGACGUCACAUGUGUGUAUAUUUAUUACUAUGAAUAAGAAUCUUCCUUGCUCUGCUCUUCUUGUAUCAUUAUUAAAGGAUGAAUAAUACCCAGAGAGGUGGUUAAAGCUACUUAAUUGGGAUAUGAAUAAAUGAAAUGUUUAAUUAAGAAGGCCAAAUGCCAAGGAUUUGAAUUAGUUUAAUGCUUUUCUAGGACUUGACAUAAUACAUUACUGGUGGCUAGCCUUUACAAAAUGCUUUGCUUUGAGACACAGGGUUAAUUGUUAAGCUUUGGCUUAAAACAAUCCAAUCUAUUAUCACUUUGUUUUAUAUUUUUUGUUUUUUUUCAUUGCUUAAAUUUGUAGAGAGGAAUCCUUAUUUUAAUAAGGUGUUUCCUACCUUAGGAUAUUCCAAACCUUUAUUAUUCACAAAUGCUCUUAUUUGAUUCCAAGUUCCAUAUAUUUUAAUAUACUCUGCAGCUACAAGAUUGAAAUGAUUUCUAAAUUGGCAUCUUUCAGUUUUUUCAGUGGCUUGCACAAAUUAAGAAAAUGUUA